rnacentral:rRNA from 1 species
CACGAGGUGUUGCAUGGCUGUCGUCAGCUCGUGUCGUGAGAUGUUCGGUUAAGUCCGCUAACGAGCGCAACCCUCGCUGUAUGUUACAUGUGUCAUACAGGACCGCCGGUAUCAAGCCGGAGGAAGGUGGGGAUGACGUCAAGUCCGCAUGGCCUUUAUGUCCGGGGCUACACACACGCUACAAUGGUCGGUACAAUGGGUUGCUAAGCCGCGAGGUGGAGCCAAUCCCCCAAAGCCGGCCUCAGUUCAGAUUGCAGGCUGCAACUCGCCUGCAUGAAGCUGGAGUUGCUAGUAAACGCGCGUCAGCUAUAGUGCGUUGAAUACGUUCUCGGGCCUU